GUAGGGWGMAAGCGUUAAUCGGAAUUACUGGGCGUAAAGCGUGCSCAGGCGGUUAUGCAAGACAGAGGUGAAAUCCCCGGGCUCAACCUGGGAACUGCCUUUGUGACUGCAUAGCUAGAGUACGGUAGAGGGGGAUGGAAUUCCGCGUGUAGCAGUGAAAUGCGUAGAUAUGCGGAGGAACACCGAUGGCGAAGGCAAUCCCCUGGACCUGUACUGACGCUCAUGCACGAAAGCGUGGGGAGCAAACAGGAUUAGAUACCCUGGUAGUCCACGCCCUAAACGAUGUCAACUGGUUGUUGGGAGGGUUUCUUCUCAGUAACGUAGCUAACGCGUGAAGUUGACCGCCUGGGGAGUACGGCCGCAAGGUUG
rnacentral:rRNA from 1 species